AUUUAAUAGAAUAGUAUUAUUAUUAUUAUUUACAUUUUGUUGUGAUCCAAGCACAAAAAAUCUAAAUAUUUUAAUCUAGAUGAUUAAUUUAAUUAAAUUCAUAUUUAGGCUCAGAACAUCAUAGAGACAAUUGGGCAAAGAGACAAUUUUUUGGUCAUUUUUUUGAUUAUGACAGGUGCAGUACCCAUUUACUUUUGUAAAAGAAAAACUAUCAGGAAAGCUUUCUGCUAAAUAAUUUUGUUGUAUUUUAUUUUAUUUCACUUCACUUCACAAAAUCACAAAAUUUUACUUCACAAAAUUAACUACAUGUUUCUCUGUUCAAGACUUCACCAGCAUGUCAUACUCCCACAUGGGAAAGUCUUUAACAGUUUUCCUGGAGGGGUGAUACCUGGUUUGUUAGUGAGAUAGUUAUGGUGUAAUGAUAAAUGGAGAGACUGAACAUGCUCUCAGAGGCACAGGUGGCCAGUGUGUGUGUGUGUGUGUGUGUGUGUGUGUGUGUACAUUAAAACUCAAAGCUUAAAACGGCAGAGGAGUACAGGUAACAUAACAAAAGAAUGCAGCAGAUUCAAAACAGGGUUGACAUGUCAGACAUUCUGCAUGGUGUCUCUGAACCAUCAGAAUAACAUUUGCAUAAUCUCGCCCAUGUUGCCUGAACUCUCUCUUUUAUUGUAAGGUAUGUGUGUGUCCUUGAAAGUGAUUUAGGAGUUGUCAGGACACAGGACACUCUGCACCUCCUUAUCAGCAGCCUGGUACCAACUGGAGUCUAUCCCCGGGAGGAAAAACAGGACCUUGUGUGUUUGAACAGGGCAGCACAUCCCCCACAGACGUCUGUCUCCCACCAUGCCCUGACCCUGGAUCUAUGUGUGGAACUCUCUCUACAUUUAUUUGUGUGGGCCUCGUCCUCUCCCAUUUCCUUUUAUUUUUUCACGUUCCAGAUCCUGGUAUUGUUGCUUACUAAAUCACGUCAGUAUAACCCUCAGACUGGCACACAGCUGAGGAGAUCUGUUUAAGGAAUAGCUCACACACAAAUGAAAAUGCAUCAUGCCAUUCCAAACUUGCAUGUCUUUUUCUUCCAUGAAACCCAACAGGAGAUGGGUAAAAGUAAGGGAAUGAAUGGACAGAUGAAUUCCUGGUCCUGAAUUGAAAUUGGUGCCACCUGGACCGGCAGAUCAUACUUGGAAGUAAGCAAUGGCAGAUUUAAUUAUGAAGUCAUCAAAUUAAAUGUCACAACCUCAUUUGAGUAGUGUCAGCAUAAAAUAUACAGUCCAAAUUAAAGUUCACAAACUCUGUGUCUUAAAGUAAAUAGACUGAAUGAAGAUAAUGAAAAGUAAUGCACUGUAUGAAAGGACGCUUUCAGGUGAGUCGCGUCACACUCGUUUCCUGCACUUUAUCGCAUUGCACGUUGCUUUUAUUUGUUGAUAAGCUGGAAUAUGUUUUGUUUAGUACAGUGGUCUCCAACCCUGCUCCUGGAGAGCUACCAUCCUACAGAUUUCAGCUCCAACCCCAAUCAAACACACCUGAAGCAGCUAAUCAAGGUGUUCAUGGCUACUUGAUAAUUACAGACAGGUGUGUUGGAGCAGGGUUGGUAGCUCUCCAGGAGCAGGGUUGGAGAUCCCUGGUUUAGUAACAUACUUUCACUGAGCUGUCAUCUUCAGAAGCUGUGUUUAAAACUGUCUGCAGGUGUUAAGCGUCAUGUUACCAAUCAUCUGAAGCUGUCAAACUGACUGCUUUCGCCACCCAGUGGAGCGGAUGGAAACUUACACUCCAGUUUCUAGUUUUAGUUGCAGACUAGCUCUGAGAUUUAAACUUCAUUUAUUUUACAACAAAAGAUAUGAUUUUGUCAUGGUCUCGGUCAGCAGAGUAUUCUACUAGUUUAGAUAAACGAACCGGAUCAGCUUUCAACUGAUGGGGUAAGACAGAUGAAAUGUUGUGCUGAACUCAAAAGCACAUGGUCAAAGUGUAAACAUAAAAUACAGAACAAAGUUUCUCUGAGACUCUUAGAUUGGUAAAGCAGAUGUGUAUUAGUUAUUUAAAUGAAUGUGUAUCGUGUGUUCACAGUUCAACAAUGAUUUUAAUGUGCUUGUGUGUCGUUGUUUACAAACUCAAGUAGCUUUUAGUAUAAAACUUGAUUGGAAGACAGGGCAGAUUUGGACAAAUUGUUUUAAAGCCUGUAUCAAAAUAUCUGUUGACACAUUUAAUCUAUAAGCUCAACUGAUAUCAUGAUGGUAAUAGUGUCUCAUGGCAACUUUUUAUUAAUAUUUAUAAGCAGAUGUAGGAGAUCAGAUUCACCAUCUCCCCUUGAGAAGCAUCUGGGCAGUGAGUUUGAACAGGAAGCUCUUAGUAAGGAUGAGGAGGAUGUGAAGCUCUGAGCUCUGGAUGAUCAUGAGGUUAUAGAUGGAGGACUGAGACUUUGGCUUCUACAGACCUACAGACACAGAUAUCACAUUUUAGUUCACGUUAAACCAUGGACGGAUUGAUCACAGAUCAUGUAUUGGUUAAUUUGAUAAAUGAUCAUUAAAAAAAAAUACCGUUAACAUAUGUAAUCUAUGAACUGCUGACUGAUAAAACAACUUAACAUUAAUAUUGUGUCUAAUGUAAGCUUUUUUUACUAACAUGCAUGAGAUCAGAUCAGUGUGUCAGCUCUCUCUUGUGGACAAUAAGUGUAUCUGCAUUAAUAAAAUAAUACAGCAGCAGGAGGAAAAGGCAGUUAUGUCUAAUCCUGCUCCUGUUGAGCCACUUUCCUGAGUUUAACUCCAACCUGAUUAAAAACACAUGGAACAGCUAAUCAAGGUCUUUAGGAUUACUAGAAAAUUACAGGCAGGUUUAUUGGGUUCUAUGUUUCUAAUUCAUAUAAAACUUGAUUUCAAUAAACAAACGAUGCUGUUCACAAGUUGUGUUGGUGUUAUCAGUUUAAUGCAUUUAAACACAAGACUGACAUUUGACAGACUUUAGUUAAUAAAUAGAUUGUAUUUUUUUUUCCCGCAACAGUUUAUUUGGUACAAUAUUUCACUUAUUACUCAUCAAACAGAUUUAAUAUAAGCAUAUUCCCCUGCAACAUCUCAUAACAAAGAAUCUUUCUAGUCCCGCUAUGAGGCUUAAGCUCAGAAUGAGUUGAUCAAGCUGAGAUGAGCACUGAUGAAUCCUGUGGAUAAUGAAUUGUUUUUAUCCAAAAGAAAUUUAAUCGUAACCAAUUUUUUUAGUGGUUAGCUGUGGUAUCUCUAAAAGAGCUGUUGGCUCACGGAGACAAAAGCAAGAUGACCCAUAAAAAAAUAAAUACAUUUACACAAUUCUUUUCAUAUUUCUAUGUGACAAAAAUUAGCUCUUAAAGCUCAGUGGAUUGAGCCUUGUGUUUUCACAUGUGCUGAAAUCCCACUACAAAAAAAAAACCUGAUGAUGUGGUUUAAAUGCAGGUCUUUUAAGAACAAAACUACAACAGAGGCAAAUUCAAAUCUCAUAAAUGCAAUAAUCUCUUUCUGUUUUAACAAUGUAAAUUUACAAGACACAAAAUCACAAAUCUGUGGCACAGAGGUUAAUCAUUUGCCUUAAAAGUCCUCAAUAUCACGAUCAAAUCAUAGUUGAAAUCCACAGAGUCAGUGUCUCAGAAGAUUAAAAAUGUUACAUGUGUUAAACUGUAGUAGUAUUAAUGCUGUGUCUGUAGGAGGUAAAGCGUUGUUUUUUUAAUCUUGGAGGCCUGAGCUCAAAUCUCAAUAUUACUUGUGUUAACUUGCAGCUCUCAAUUAAUGCUGUAGCUAAACAUAACAUCUAAAUGACCCCUGAAACAAACUUUUGCAACAAACACCCUCAGCUCUGUGGCUUAGUGGUUGAGCGUUUGCUUCCCAAACACAGUGCUUCCCACAAAGCCUGUCAUUAAAUCCAACAAAGUGCCCCAAACAACAGCCCUCAUUGUGAAAGCCACGAUGGCACUAGUGGUUAAACACAUUGGUUGAGAACAAGGUUAUGGUAAAGGCUUGGGUUCAAAUCCUGCUCCAGCAUGUUUAAACUUUCACUGGUUUAUGUCACAGGUGAACGGUGAAAUAUAAGUUCUUUUACAUGUUCACACUAGAGAUCUGUGGCUCACAGGUAAGAGUACUGCCUCAUGGUUCAGAGGUGUCUCAUGGUUCAGCUGGUUCAAUUCCAGUCAGAUCUCUGCUAUAUGAGUGAAGGAGUGAUUCGAAAUAUACUCUGCCAAAGCUUUAACUAGUUUAUUGUAAAAGCACAUGUAGGUUAAUAGUGAAAUAUAAGUUCCUUCACAUUCAACAAAGUGCCACAAAAGCCAGGCACAAAAUGUGAAAACCACAAUGGGUUGGUGGUUAAUCAGAUGUUUUCGGAUGAUAAGACUGUGAUUGAGGCAUGGGUUCAAAUCCCACCUCAGUGACAACAAUCAGCCAACUGAUAGCUUUAACUGUUUUAUUAUAAAAGCACAUGCAGGUGAACAGUGAAAUAUAAGUUCCUUCACACACUCAGACAAGAGAUCUGUGGCUCACAGGUAAGAGCACUGCCUCACGGUUCAGAGGUUGCUGGUUCGAUCCCAGCCAGAUCUCCGCGAUAUGAGUGAGUGUUGUGUGAAUGAAGGGAUGGGGACGAUUUGGGUCCCCCCCGAGCCCCGGCACCAUGUCCAGC
ensembl:lncRNA